rnacentral:tRNA from 1 species
UGGGAUGUAGCUCAGUGGUAGAGUGCUUGCCUAGCAUGUGUGAGGCACUGGGUUCGAUUCUCAGCACUGCAU